UAACAUGUACAUGAUAUUUAUCUUUGAUAAAAUUUGACAUGAAAUUACAAACUGACAUUGUCAAUAUACAAUUCUAUACAUCUAUUGUCAAUAUACAAUUCUAUACAUCUAUUGCCAAUAUACAAUUCAAUACAUCUAGUGUCAAUAUACAAUUCUAUACAUCUAGUAUAAUAACAUACUUACACAAACCAAAAAGACAUUUAUUUGGGUUUUAUCAUGUUUUACCUGCGAGGGGGUCCAAUUAUAAGGGGACCAAGUUUUUUUCUGUAAGUUGAAAAGGGGUUAAAAUUUUGGUUAGAAAUUAUAAAUGGGGGUCAAUAUGAUGAAAUAUUUGUAAACUUUAGAAUUUUAAAGUAUAUACUGAUGAACUGUAUUGUUCAAAGUAAUAAAGAAUAUAUCCUACCUAUCAUGUGUUUCAAAGGUAAGUGUUUUGCAUCAUGUUUCAAAUUUUUGCUUGUGUAUUUGAGGAGGAUCACAUAUUUCGUUUUAAAUGGUUUAAAGGGGAUACAAUAAAAAUAGUGAUUAUGGGGGAUUAAGAAAAUGUUAUGUUUUGUUUCAAAAUGAACAGUCCCCCCUUUCCCAGAUAAAAAAUUAUAAAUCCAUAAAUAAGA
rnacentral:lncRNA from 1 species